rnacentral:rRNA from 1 species
GACGAACGCUGGCGGCGUGCUAAACACAUGCAAGUCGAACGGGAAGGCCCUGCUUUUGUGGGGGGCCCGAGUGGCGAACGGGUGAGUAACACGUGUGUACUCUGCCCUUGACUUAGGGAUAAAUUCAGGCAACUGGGGCUAAUACCGGAUAGGAGCCCCUGCUGCCUGGUGGGCGUCGGCAUGUUUCGGCGGUUGGGGAUGGACUCGCGGCUUAUCAGCUUGUUGGUGGGGGAGUGGCUUACCAAGGCUUUGACGGGUAGCCGGCCUGAGAGGGUGACCGGCCACAUUGGGACUGAGAUACGGCCCAGACUCCUACGGGAGGCAGCAGUGGGGAAUAUUGCACAAUGGGCGGAAGCCUGAUGCAGCAACGCCGCGUGCGGGAUGACGGCCUUCGGGUUGUAAACCGCUUUCGCCUGUGACGAAGCGUGAGUGACGGUAAUGGGUAAAGAAGCACCGGCUAACUACGUG